GCCCGGGUGGUGGAAUGGUAUACACGCGACACUUAAAAUGUCGUGAGCCAAAAGCUCUUGCCGGUUCAAGUCCGGCCCCGGGCACCA
rnacentral:tRNA from 1 species